UCUGGAAUUUAGAACCUUCACAGACAAGAAGUUCAGCUUAAGGAGCAGCUGGAGGCAGCAAAAACUAUAGCCACUGCCAGAGCAAUGUGCCUUGCAAAGAUAAGGCCCAAUAUGUUCAGCUAUGCAAAGCACCCACCUAAGAUUCCUAGCAGCUUACGGCUUAGACCUAGUUCAGCGAAUUUCCUUGCAAGGUCCUUGGAAGACUGGA